rnacentral:misc_RNA from 1 species
AGAAAACGUUACUUUAGGCGAGGAAGAAAAGCAUCAGCGCUGACCAAGAAAAAAAUAUAUAACCCAGCAAUUUCUCUCACUAAAAAAGUCAAUCUAUCCUCUCUAUGAUAGCUCCUUGCCUUGAAGAACCAGCACGUGAACCAGCAGCUCAUGAAAUUGAAGAAGACAAACAGGGAAAGUAGUUACUCAAUGCCACCAGUAGCAUUUUUGGCUUCUAUUAAAGCUUUUAAUCGAUCAAUUACCUCCCAUAGCCAUGGGUGAGCCUCCUCUAAGCCUUUAUUUUAGCCUUGAGUUAAUUAAACGAGAUUAUGAGAAAGGAUGCCGAAGUUUAAUGGCUUCCAUUCCCAUAAAUGGCCAACCAACUGAGAGAGAUGUACCAACAAGCUCAAGAGGCAAAGAUGAGUAUGUUGGCAGUGAUUA